GACAGAGGCCUCAAGCGUUAGGCGGAAUCACUGGGCUUAAAGCGUGUGUAGGCGGAUCGUUAAGUGUCUUGUGAAAUCCCACGGCUCACCCGUGGAACUGCUGGGCAUACUGGCGAUCUUGGGCCAACUAGGGGCAACUGGAACAAGCGGUGGAGCGGUGAAAUGCGUAGAUAUCGCUUGGAACGCCAAAGGUGAAAACAGGUUGCUGGGGUUGUGCCGACGCUGAGA
rnacentral:rRNA from 1 species